UUCAUCUGACACUUAGAUGCA
rnacentral:piRNA from 1 species